GCUCUGAUGUUGCUAUUUGAUAUUUUAUCGUUGGAAUUAUAUUAAAAGAACACCACUAAAGGUUUAUGAUUUUGUUUUUCUGUGUCGAGGUGUCUGCCUGGUACUGCUUCAUUGGUUUUGUACAUCUGCACUUGUGGUUUCGACCUUCUCUGCCCUGCUGUGGGAUCUUCAAUUAGAAUGAUUGUGGAUCCCAGCUGGCUACUCUGCUAGAUGCUACUUUUCAUUGCUUGUCUGCGGCUAAGAUGCGUCUCUCCUCAAUAAUUAUGGUUAUAGAACUGCACUUGUGGUUUCGACCUUCUCUGCCCUGCUUGCUGUGGGAUCUUCAAUUUGAAUGAUUGUGAAUCCCAUUGUAGAACUGCACUUGUGGUUUCAACCUUCUCUGCCCUGCUUGAUGUGGGAUCUUUGAUUUGAACGAUUGUCGAUUCCGUUGUAGAACUGCACCUUGUGGUUUCGACCUCGGCCCUGCUCUGGGAUCUUCAAUUUGAAAGAUUGUGGAUCCCGGCUGGCUACUCUGCUAGAUGCUACUUUUCAUUGCUUGUCUGCGGCUAAGAUGCGUCUCUCCUCAAUAAUUAUGGUAUUUGAUU
rnacentral:lncRNA from 1 species